CGGCGUGCCUAACACAUGCAAGUCGUACGAGAAAGCCGGCUUCGGCUGGUGAGUAAAGUGGCGCACGGGUGAGUAACGCGUGGAUAAUCUGCCCUUAAGUGUGGAAUAACGUACCGAAAGGUGCGCUAAUACCGCAUAAUGCCUGGCAACACAAGUUGUCCGGCCAAAGAAGGCCUCUGUUUACAAGCUUUCGCUUCAGGAUGAGUCCGCGUACCAUUAGCUUGUUGGUGGGGUAAUGGCCUACCAAGGCUGCGAUGGUUAGCUGGUCUGAGAGGAUGAUCAGCCACACUGGAACUGAGACACGGUCCAGACUCCUACGGGAGGCAGCAGUGAGGAAUAUUGCGCAAUGGGGGCAACCCUGACGCAGCAACGCCGCGUGAGUGAGGAGGGUUUUCGGACUGUAAAGCUCUGUCGAGCGGGAAGAAGUGUACCAUGGCUAAUAUCCAUGAUAUUUGACGGUACCGCUAGAGGAAGCACCGGCUAACUCCGUG
rnacentral:rRNA from 1 species